rnacentral:misc_RNA from 1 species
UAUUGGGUGUGAUUCACUUGCCUUUCUACCAUUGGAUAGAUUGAAGAACUUGUUGGGAGAUGAUUCUCCAAAUUAUUGUUAUGCUUGCUUCUCUGGUAGGUACCCAGUCCAGCCAAAGGAAGUUAAAGUGAAAAGGGUUGGUGACUUUAUAGAUGAUGGGUUGAACGGAAGUAUUGAGUCCAUUGAUGGGGGCUGGGUUCAAGGACCUCUAAGUCAUGAUAUGGAGAAAGUUAGCGAAGUCCGGAAGUUGUCAUCCCUGUCAUGAUGUAUACUCUGAUUUGCAGACUUGAUUGGUUAUCAAGGGUAUCAACUGUCAAGUAUGUGAUGCAGAGAGUGGCAGAUGUCUUCAAUGAUUCUAAUAUAACCUCAAUUUAUCCAAGGAAGCAUAUAUAGCCAAAACUAGAACUUUCACAAUUUUGUUGGGUAUUCUAAAUUUUGCAGGAUUUAAUAUAAGCACGUGGUUUUAUCUUUCCUUGACGGUAGACAAUUUCUGCUAAGAACUCAAUAUUCUUUUGACCUUAUUCUAUUUGUA